rnacentral:lncRNA from 1 species
UUUUUUUUUUUUUGAUAAAGUAAAGUUGUAUUCUUCAGCAAUGAGGGUAUGCUGGCAACCAUCAAAAAGAUUUACAUCAGUGACCCAAAAAGGACCAACUCAAGAAAUUGCUACUAAACUUAUAAAGAAGAGAAAAAAUUUAAAAUCUGUCCAGCAUCCUCUAUACCCUCCUCAUUACACCAAAAACAGAAGGUCUUCAUACAACGCCAUUUGAUCUUUUGUACUGAUUCUGCAGUAUUUUCCAUACACCUCUUGUUUCUUUCUCUCCAAAUAGUCCACCAUAUACAAGAGGGUAUCAUGUUCCACCAUUUCUUCUGGCUCUUUUACAUAUGGGGAAGAUAGAUAUAUAACAGAACAGAACUUCAGAAUACUUAUAGAGCUUCAAGACAAGAGGUACUCUUUCACCUUCCAGUCACCUAUCCUACACCACUACAUUCUCCUUCAAGGCAUGAUAAACGUGCUUUCAGACUGUCACUUGAAAAAAGCACUUGGCAGAUCCAGAUUUCCAUUUUGUACUUUCUAAGGGAAACAUUCUUGCUCUAUUUGCAGGAUCGCACCAUUGGAUAGGUUAAAUAUUCAGUUGGUAGAUCAGAACUUUUAUUUUUAAUACUUGCAAAAGAUUCUCCCCAAGUUGCACAGAAUUCUUGCCUAUAAUAGUCAUCCUCUCUAAUAUUGCUACUUGAGAGAACUCUAAAUAUGAAAAGUAACUAUAUUCCAAAGCCUAAUAGAUAUUAGAAGCCCUCUUUUAUUUGUUAUCUAAUAUUCCCUACAAAUUUGGAACAGAGCCUACAGCCUUUACUUGAAUAGCUUCAAUAUAAACCUGUCUUUGAAAGUGCUACGGAACUCUACAAACACUUCAGUACCUGAGGCUUUAGAUGAUAUGUAGACAAGAUUAAGUCGUAGAUAUUACUGGCUCAAUAUAAAACAGAAAGAAUUAUUAAAAAUUAAAAGCGAAUAGCAGAAACUGAUCUCAGCGAAGAUUUUUUUUUUGAUAAAGUAAAGUUGUAUUCUUCAGCAAUGAGGGUAUGCUGGCAACCAUCAAAAAGAUUUACAUCAGUGACCCAAAAAGGACCAACUCAAGAAAUUGCUACUAAACUUAUAAAGAAGAGAAAAAAUUUAAAAUCUGUCCAGCAUCCUCUAUACCCUCCUCAUUACACCAAAAACAGAAGGUCUUCAUACAACGCCAUUUGAUCUUUUGUACUGAUUCUGCAGUAUUUUCCAUACACCUCUUGUUUCUUUCUCUCCAAAUAGUCCACCAUAUACAAGAGGGUAUCAUGUUCCACCAUUUCUUCUGGCUCUUUUACAUAUGGGGAAGAUAGAUAUAUAACAGAACAGAACUUCAGAAUACUUAUAGAGCUUCAAGACAAGAGGUACUCUUUCACCUUCCAGUCACCUAUCCU